rnacentral:rRNA from 1 species
CGCGCAGGCGGACCGAUAAGUCAGAGGUGAAAUCUCCCGGCUCAACUGGGAGCGGCCCUUUGAUACUGUCGGUCUUGAGAUGCCUAGAGGAGAGUGGAAUUCCCGGUGUAGUGGUGGAAUGCGUAGAUAUCGGGAGGAACACCAGUGGCGAAAGCGGCUCUCUGGGGGCGAUCUGACGCUGAGGCGCGAAAGCGUGGGGAGCAAACCGGAUUAGAUACCCGGGUAGUCCACGCCGUAAACGAUGAGUACUAGCUGUAUGGGGUAUCGACUCCCUGUGUAGCGAAGCUAACGCGAUAAGUACUCCGCCUGGGGACUACGACCGCAAGGUUAAA